rnacentral:rRNA from 1 species
UACGGAGGGGGUUAGCGUUGUUCGGAAUACUGGGCGUAAAGCGCGCGUAGGCGGACUAUUAAGUCAGAGGUGAAGUCCCGGGGCUCAACCCCGGAACUGCCUUUGAUACUGGUAGUCUUGAGUUCGAGAGAGGUAAGUGGAAUUCCGAGUGUAGAGGUGAAAUUCGUAGAUAUUCGGAGGAACACCAGUGGCGAAGGCGGCUUACUGGUCGAGUACUA